CAAAAUAGUUUAUAAUAAGUAGCUCAACAUUGUAUUGUGAUGUUCAAAACUGAGGGAAAGAGUUUUGAGUUCAAGACGGAGGUAUAAAGUUAUAGGAUGAGUCAGCUCAACUGCCAUUUGGUGAAUACGGAGUGCAAGAUGUUUUGUCAUGUUAAUAAAUUAUGUUAAACAUUCAUGUAUUCUCUUAGUCAUUAAAAUAUAUAUUUAAUCAUUGAAAGAAAGUGUAAAAUAUUGUAAAGUCUGAAGAAGCUUUCUCAGAAAACUACUCAAGUGCCCUUGGGCAAGUCAGUAAAUAACUGGGCACCUAGACAUUGCUGUAGACAUACAGACAUCUUCACAGAUUUAUUAAUGAUGAGGUGGACUCUUUAAGAGACAAUUUAAAUGGGUAAUACGAGUAAAAAAGGUUUUAAAUCCUUUUGUUUUUGUUUAUCUAAUAAGACAAGACUAAUUAUUGCCAUUGAACUGUAUUGCUAAUGAUCAAGCAAAAUGUUCAUACUUUUAUACUGACUUGAAGGUAUUCAGUGCACUCCAACAUAGUUUGACUAUAAGUAUUAAUGUCUUGACUCCUGCUGCUACUUACAAUCUUGAUGUGCAUAGGUGUGAAAAAAUAAAGGUCACGCUAUUACUAUUUGGUACACAAAAGUUAAGCUGUAAUAUUUAUCCACUGUAGGGAUUUCAAGGGCAUGGUAGAUAACAGACCAACAGGCUGAGUCAUGCUAGCUCAGAAAGCCAUAAAGUCAUCAAACAUUCCUCUGAGAUUUAGCAUAGUAUCAAAACAAAAAAGAUAUAUUUUUUUCACAUUUAUAUUACGGUAUCGGAAAGAUUGCCAUAUGAUCUAACAACAGAAAGGAAUGAAUUUAAUUUGAUUUCAACCCACUCAUUCAUUCAACCCCCAAGCUAUUCAUCAAUGUUUCAAUGUUGCUAUUCCUCCCCGUCAGCGGUUCCCACAUUUUGUCGUUUUUUAUCGGGGGGCUUUCAUGUUUUUCCACCUUUGUAAUGAAACCUGACGGAAAAAAACAUUCACAGCCGCGUGUCAAAGCAGAACAAUGACUCUGCAAACAAAACGAGGACAAGUUCAAAGCAGCGUUUUAAUCGCAUUAUAAGUAUUUUUUACGACUCUAAGCAUUUUGAUUGUUAAACCGCCAUUUCCAUUUCUUAUCUUUCUGAGGCAGUGUCAUCCUGACUUGAAUAGCAAAACACAGUCUAUUUGAUUCCAGACAACCCCAAAACAAAUUCGAUAUCCAUGGUUCAUGAUAGACAAUAGUACUCCACUUCAUGGAGACCUUCUGGACAUUUUGUAAAAAAAAAAAAAAAAGAACAGAAAAGAAAGAUUAGAAAAUCUACAAAAUCCAUUACUGAACAUGUUCACAAAAAAACGGACAAAUCAUUUUUGUGGGCUCCAGGACCGAGGGAGACUGGUUGUCCUCAACACAGGGGCUUGCCGUGUCUCAUGUUCUGGGCACAUCUCCGGCCCACGUUGGCCGUAGAGACCGCCCAGGGUGAUGCUGAUGGGCCAGCCGAUUAUCAGCAGGAUCACCAGCCACAUAAUGCUCCAGAAACACGACCCACAACUGGCCAUCCUAGUCUGGGGGGGGGGGAUAGAAAGAAGAAAAUGCCUCAAGGACAAAGAUAGGCGUGGGUAUGGACUGGUGUGUUACAGGUGGUGAAGUACAAUUCAUUUGGUGGCAUCUAGAAUUGAGGUUGCGGUUGAAACCAACUGAACUGCAUGCCUGGCCACAGCCCAACCAGACCCCCCUCUGAGAUGAGAGAUUAUGAGAUUGUGGAGUGGCCCUGCCGUUGAUCUGGACAUACUGGUCAGGGUUUAACCAUGGCAGUCUGAAAGCAUCGUAAGCCUGCCUUUUGCAGUGACCACCGUGUUCACAUCUGGCCAAUGAGAUCAACCGGCCACCGACUUAAAAGCCUUAACACCCUCCCCAAAGAAAUUGGAUAGUGGAUCAAAUGUAUGAGUUUUGGAUACACAGAUUUUGUUAAGUAAUUGUAGUAUUUGCGAUCUACUAUAAUCGAUAAACUAAAGAUGGAAACUAUAAUGUACCUACAGUCUCCAGAUAAAUCGAAAGAACUGUUUUAAGACUGGAUGUCUAGUGUUCCUGAUUUGUCACUGACAAAUGUGGUAAUUUCCUCUUGUGGUGUCCCGAUCCUGAAUCACAAACACAAGUUAAUCUUGUGCUUUCAGUCACUACUAAACCACAAGGUAAUUACGAAAUACAGAACACAUGGUCCAUCAAGAUCAGCUAUUCCUUCCCUGUGGUAGCCUUCAAGGAGUUUCAUACUCGACUACCUUAUAUCACAAUAACAUUUAUGACUAGAAAAUUAUCUUCCUUCUACGGCAACACAAGUUUUAAGAGGAAAUAUAUAUCUAUAAACAAGGUUAUACUGAA
ensembl:lncRNA